UACAGAGGUCCCAAGCGUUUGUUCGGAUUCAUUGGGCGUAAAGGGUGCGUAGGUGGCGCCGUAAGUCGGGUGUGAAAUUUCGGAGCUUAACUCCGAAACUGCAUUCGAUACUGCGGUGCUUGAGGACUGGAGAGGAGACUGGAAUUUACAGUGUAGCGGUGAAAUGCGUAGAUAUCGUAAGGAAGACCAGUGGCGAAGGCAGCUUACUACACAGUUAUUGACGCUGAGGCACGAAAGCGUGGGGAUCAAACAGG
rnacentral:rRNA from 1 species